ACAUUGGACUACAUUGGACCACCAGUUAUUAUAAGGUGGCGUUUCUAAAGGCUAAAUAUCAUGAUGUAGCGAAAUGCACAUCGUUUUUGGAUCAAAAGAGGAUUUGUAAUGUCAAUUUUUCUGCAAAGACAUUACAAACAAGAGUAGUUUUCUACACUCUUCAGCGGAUUCACAAUUGCAAAAAGAAAUUUGCGUUACGCUAUAUGUCAUCCAAAAUUUGGAUGUCAAAAAAAUCCUCAUUUUUCUCUACAAGAUCCAAUAGUGAGCCGUUGGCAGUGGCACCGCCCCUAUAUAUAGUGCUCACGACCUGUUUUGCCAACUUUGGCAUGUUCUAAGCCUUGUUUUGUCCAUCUUUAUAGUAUUACAAGUUAUGGAAUGCACUCUAAAGGGUUCCAAUACCAAUCUCCAACGAAAUUGUUAACAUAUUUCGGUUUCUAUGUCUUGACAUAAGACUGUUGUCUCUACAUUCUGGUAUAUGAAUGUGUUGUAGCGAGAUUGAGUGCUUAGCUUAUUGCAAGGAAUAGACAACUAUUCAUGGAUUUAGUGCUUUAUAAAUCCGUUGUGACUACGAUGACUAGAUCAUCA
rnacentral:lncRNA from 1 species